rnacentral:rRNA from 1 species
AUGAACGCUGGCGGCGUGCCUCAUACCUGCCAGUCGAGCGAACAGAUGAGGAGCUUGCUCCUCUGACGUUAGCGGCGGACGGGUGAGUAACACGUGGAUAACCUACCUAUAAGACUGGGAUAACUUCGGGAAACCGGAGCUAAUACCGGAUAAUAUAUUGAACCGCAUGGUUCAAUAGUGAAAGACGGUUUUGCUGUCACUUAUAGAUGGAUCCGCGCCGCAUUAGCUAGUUGGUAAGGUAACGGCUUACCAAGGCAACGAUGCGUAGCCGACCUGAGAGGGUGAUCGGCCACACUGGAACUGAGACACGGUCCAGACUCCUACGGGAGGCAGCAGUAGGGAAUCUUCCGCAAUGGGCGAAAGCUUGACGGAGCAACGCCGCGUGAGUGAUGAAGGUCUUCGGAUCGUAAAACUCUGUUAUUAGGGAAGAACAAAUGUGUAAGUAACUAUGCACGUCUUGACGGUACCUAAUCAGAAAGCCACGGCUAACUACGUG